AAUAGUUCUUUGGUGACAUCCCUGAUCAAUCAUCAAACCAAGGUAGGAAAGAUUUUAGAUUUAAUAUUAUUGGUUAGGGACUGUCUGUAAGUGGAGGGGGUCGAGAGAAGGAGGAACGAUAGACUCACUCAGACGUGAGGGGGUAGACACCAGCUCCAGGGUGGAGUAAGGUAAAUUGGUGUCACAAUAUACCUGUAAAUAAGUAACCUUGUGAGUAUAAGGGGUACAAGUACACAUCGGUAGGUCUUGAUAUAAGAUAUUUAGAGAUGUGUACAGUUACAGAGGGAACAGGUGCACACCUAUAGGUCUUAGAGAGAGACGUAAAAAUUUUCUAGGUGUGCACAGUCCAGGGGGGGACAAAAACGCAUUCUUAACAGGCAUGUGAACCCGUAAAGGGCAGUGCUGGGUCAAGCACCGAGGGACAAGGGACACAUAGAGCCGUAAAUAGGCAGUGCUGGGUCAAGCACAGAAAGCCGAAAAGCACGAGAGGCCAUAAAGGGCAGUGCAUUUACGGCCAGGGAAGCCAAAGUAGGGGUAUGGGAAAUCCCGAGAAGAAUGUAAGACGCUAGACGGGGGUUCUAGUCGUAUCUCGCUCUUCCAACUCUCGAUCACCCACCAUUACAGACGGGGGCGCCCCGAGCUUAGAAAUAGGCCAGGUCAGUGGUUAGGGAACAGAGUAUCCAAAAUUAGUGUUUAAAAAUAAAUAGUGAUAAUUCAUAUGUGCACCUAUAAAAAAUAUAGGGAUAUAUGCAAAGGGAAAGUAUUGAUUGAUCUGGGAUGCCUCAGGAACAACCCCAAAAGAACUAAAAUGUAGUUUUCAUGACCCUGAUUGGAUUGGACCAGUAUAUGGAAAUUCUGGAAUAUACUUUGCAGUUUCAUCACGCAGAAGUCAAGUGCUGUUGGUAAGAUCGCCGCCUCAAUAUGUUUUUGGUUUAUGAUAGAAAUAUGACUGACAAAUUAGGUAACCUGGUAAGCCCUGAUAGAAAUAAUGAAACAGAAGAGAGCAAAUGCUGUAAACAGUUUGGCUCUGAAGCUCUGACUUUAAAAAUAUUCUCUGAAUUCAUUGAAAGAAUGGUCAGUCUGAGCUUUGAUUCUGAUUGGAAAGUUAAAACUAAAAAAUGUAUUGGCUUUAAACAAAGACAGAACCAGAGAAAUAAACAUUUAUAAAUGUAUGUGCCGAUUUGUUAAAAAUAAUCCCCGAAAUAACUGAGUGCUAUAUAAUUGUUGAAAGUCCUGACAAGGAAUACUGAACAGAAUUCUGGGUUAGUGAAAAAAAAAAACAACUGAAGGCACACAAAUUGGCAGUGGCAUUUUGGAAAAACUUAGAAGCUUAUGUUUUGCUUUAAAAAAGAUAAAAUUACUUUGACUACAAUGAAGCCGUUGUUUUAUCUCAUGCUGGCCCCCACCAUGACUCUGGCUUAAGCUUUAAAAGUACCAGAGACAUGUUCUGAGUAAAAAAAAAAAAAAAUGUAAUUCCUAUAUUUACUAAUGUUUGGCCAAAAGAGUAAUUUUAUUGUUGGAUUGCAAAAUUGUAGUCACGCAGCAUCAUAAAAAAAAGAAAAAAAGAAGAGAAAAGAAAAUUAUUUUUUGUUUAUGAGAUGAUAAAGUUGUAAACAAGUAACAUAAACGGGGGUUUCAAAGUAACUUUGAAGACAGCAUGCUAGCAAGACCCAAAGUAAUAUACCUGGGUCAGAUAACCUCCGACAGAUUUAAAACCAAUGUUGAAAUUCAGAAGCCAUGGCCAGAAUUAAGUGAAUGGAUAAAUACAAGUUGAUGUAAAAGUAAUGACAAUGACUGCAAAGAACUUUGAGAAACAUUUGAGUUGCGAAAAUAAAGUAAAAAUACAAAUAUAAAGAUGUUUAUUUUUAAAAUGCAUAUAAUUUCUGACAAGUUUUAAACUGGGCUAGAGUAAAAUGAUAGUACGAUGAAAUUAUGUUAAAAAUGAAUGAAAAUGCAUUGUUACGAGUCCUGAAUCCCUCAGAGUUCUCUCUCUCUCAUUCAAAGUAAGCUAAAAUGCCGUUAUCUGAGCUUGUGUUUAAGUGAUAAGAUAUUUAUAGUACAGCACAGUGUUUCAGUCAAAUCAUAGGCACUGAGAUGCUAAAGGACAUGAUAAAAAGAGUUCAGAUUUAAUGCAUUAAGAGGGCAAUUGGUAGUUAAAUGUUCAACUGCCCAAUGCAUGUAAGAAAUAAGAGAUUAUAAAAAUAAUGAAUAACAAUUUAGGAGCAAUUGUUGAAGAGACAUGAGGUCUUUAAAAUCAUAAUACAGACCCUGAGCUAUAGAUGUAAUAAUUUUGAAUAGUUAAACAGUUGUAUUGCUAUUUGUUCUAUGACCAGUAACUUAUCUGUCUUAUUUUUAGUCUCCACCACCAUACAGGGCCUGAUGGCUGCAGCUACAGAAGCAACAGAAAAUUACAAUGAAUGGACGGUAGGUGCUGUCAAUGGCUCUCAUGGUUCUUGAGUGCACCUUUCCUAAGCUGCAGGAAAUACUGGAUUCUGGAAGAAGACUGUCGAGGAUGUUGCAACGGGAAAGAGCGGUUACCAGUGUGCAUGAGGUGAUUUCUCAAUGACGGGUAAGAUCCUCUUCUGGCCAAUAGGGGACAACCUAAGGCAGGGGGUCACCGCCACUGGGCACCUGCCCUGAAGGGAGGUGUUAUAUGUGAGAUGGUAGUGGAGUUGAGCAGAUGCUUGAUAGGCCUAGAGCAUCAUUAAGAGGGGAACUGUAUGAAGUACAGCAAUCUGCCUCAAAAUGUGAGCUCCUCCAGACCUGAUCACCAGCAACCGCAUUCCUUGACUGAUUGUUGUGACAAGCGUCCACAACUUGAUGCAACUAUGCCAGUGGAUCACACCCUGAGGACAAGGAGCUUAUUUAUAAAAAGUUAAUGGCAAUGGGCUUUCAAGAACCAUCUGAGACCAUGUGAUGACAGCCAUUAUUUUGAGACAAAAAUUUCUUAUGAGGCUAAAAUGAUAUUGAACUAAUAUGUCUAUAUCAUAGUCUUUACUCAUGCAGGUCAUUAGGCUUGGCAUAAGAUGAUAACAAGAUAUGGUGGUGGCUAAAAAUGAAGACUGCUUCUGCUUAAUCAAGAGAUGGUUUAGAUAACAAAGGUUAAGGGAAUUAAGCAUGUAAGGUAAAAAUAAUUUUAAAGAAAUGUUCCUAGCAUUAUGUAUUUUAAACAGUUUAAACUGAGAUUUUAGAUCUAGAAACUUUGACAUUUUUAACUUAUUUGAAUAAUUUAGGGUUAUAUGUUGUAAUGAAUUUUAUAUUAUAGUCUAAGUUAAAGUUUGGCAAAAAUUGUCAAAAUAAAUAAAUAAAUAAUAUUUUGCACAGUAAGAGAGAGAGAGAGAGAGUGCUUGAGUGGAGGCAGGGAUAGUGCUCUUCUUCUAUUAUUGGCCUGCUUAGAAAGAGUAACCAAAACAGAGCAAUAAUUUUAAGACCAAAACAACCCAGCUGAUUUUUCUCAAAAUAAAAAUCAUUAAUGAACAGGCAAACUUUGAGAUUAGAUAAGAGAUUAGGUACAAACUUGGUAAAAUGCACAGACAAUGUUUGAGUUUAAAUCCUUCCGAUUUAAUACCAAAAGGAAAACCUUAAAUAUGAGCUGUUAAAAUAUAAAUGUGUUAAGUAUGUGCAUGCAUGAGGAUGGCUAUAUAUAUAUUAUUGGGGGACAAUUCUGUUCCUGUUUUGUUUCAAUUGAGUCACUAACCUCUGGAAUGAGUGUUUUAUCAUUACAGAUGUGUUAAGUGAAAUUACUUUACAGAAGUCGAUAAUUCUGAGUGAAACUAAUGAAAAGACAAUGCCGAACAUGGGACAAGCUUUAAGAGGAUUGGUUAUCCAGCUCUGUCUGCUACUGGUAAUAAUGACUUAUUUGGUCUUUUAUAAUACUGAUUUAAAUCACUCUCUGGAUUAAUAUGUUAAAGAGUGUUUAUAUGAUUGGAUUUGUGAAAUUUAAGUUUGCCGUCCAAAAUGGGUUUAAAAUCCAUGCCUAAAUUUAAAUGAGGGUCUAAAUUUUAACAAGUUAACACUUUGUUGUUUGAAUGGUGAAGGUAAAUAUUUUAGACUUGACGGCAGAAAAACAGUGACAGAUUGGCCAAGUCACUAACCAAAUUAUCCAGAGAGCACCCUCACAUAAAGAAGCCUGGUGGGAAAACAAAGGAGUGAAUCCUGCUUGUGUAAUAUAGUGCAAAAGCUUUAUGUAGUGGUUUAUGUAGAACAGAGAUAAGUUGAACAAAAACGUGUGGAUAGCCCCUUAAUGGAGCAAAUCCAUAACAAGAGGUUUGAAUUAAUUGAAAUAGCACAGCAAAAAAAAAAAAAAAUUAUAAUAAUAAAUUUUGUUUAAACAACACAAUUGUAAUAGGCUCUAUGGAGCUGCUUAUGAACACUUGUCAAGUCAAAUUAAUAUUGUGAACACUGACAGGUCUUUUUGAUAAUGUAUACUGUUUCAAUACAGAUUUACAGAAACUGAGGAUGUCUCUUUAAUAAAUAUUUGGCUGUUUAGAACUAAGUAAUAGUAUUGUUCAUUUAGUAAUAAUAUUGGGAAAUCUGUCUGCUCUUUUUCAGUUUAUAAUAAUUUUGAGUAAAUUAAUAUCACUGCCAAAUGACAAACAUGAACGAGGGUUUUUUAAGACAUUGAUCAAGUAGCUGAUGUGUAAGCAUUUCUAACUGACAAAACAGUGAGAACUAAAUUGACUUAAUACGAGGUAUUGAGGAUUUGCUUCUGAAUGUGUCAUUAAUAUAGUCUGAGUACAGUAAUAUGGUAUGAUAAUUGACAAGACUUACAUUUAAAAAAAAAAAAAAAGGGUAAUAAUAAGGCAAUGAGUAUGGUUAACAGUAAUGUCCUGGUAUAAAAUACAUGCAUGACAAUAAGUGGAUAGGUUAGUUGUAUUUUUGAAGUUAGACACUUCGAUACUUAAAAUGUAAUUUUGAUCAAAUGUUGUUAACAAUGACAAGUUUGAAUUAAUGGUUAAUGUAUGUUUAAACAGCAUGUGAACUAUGAUGACUGCAAAUGGAUUCGUGGUGAAAGUAAAACUUAAUAAAAGGGCUAUUAAGUAAUAAACUAGGAACUGCUCUAGGUUUUCGAGGAAAUAAUGAUUAUGAUUAUUUUUAUUUUUAAAGAUGGCUCAAUAUUGAUCUUACUUAUUUUUGGUUUGUUUAUUUUUGUGUUUUUAACACCAAGUUUGGAAUGAAAGGGUAAAAUGGAUAUUCAAUCUCUAUAAUUGUACCAUUGAUCGGGAAAAUGAUAGAUUUUCAUAAAAUAAGGGUAUCUUUACUGGGAUUUAGGUUAUAAGCAAUGUCUGUAUUUGGUAUCUGUGAGGUGACUGAGGGUCUGACAUAUGUCAGGAAUGCAAUAACAGUGGUUAUUCAUUUAGCCCGGCUUGUAAUGAGUUUAUUUUACUAUAUGACCAAAUUAACUAAAAUUCAUCAUAGUUGUAUAAGACAUGUUAAAAGAAAACAAAUAAGACAAAUAUCCUUCUUAAGGGUUAAAUUUUUUUUUUUGAAUUGGUUAUAGUGUAUGCGUUUUUCUUUAAUGAUUUGUUAAAUCUGGUUAAUGAAUAUGCAAAUUUAGUCUUAAGGCUGUUGGAUAAAUGUUUGGUUUUAGAGGGUAAGUGUGAAGUAGCUGUAGUAGGAAGAGAGGUAUUUACAAAGAUAUGUUGAUGAAAGUGAGGACACUUUUCCAGGUAGAGGGACACACAGAAUGAUUCACUGGAAAAGACAUUAUGUGAAGAAAGACUAGUGCAAGUGCCGAUAUUGUGGGAUUAAGUAAGUAGAUUAAUGUAUAUGGGAAAUAAGAAUGUAUAUGGGAAGUAUUUUGUACAAAAUAAUGUGUUUAUUACUAGAAAUGUCAGCCAGUACCAGAGAUUUUAAGUAUGCACAUGUUUAAGUUGACCAACAGCCUGCAUUCUUAGCAUGCAUCACAACGACACCUGACCUCAUUUAUUAGACCAGAUGUGGGGUAUUAGACCCCACAUUGAUCUAAAACGGGGGACUGAAGGAGUGGAUGCCGAGUUGCCAUAUCCUUCAUACCAGAGAUGGGACCAAGUCCCCAUGUCUGCUUCAUACUGAUAUUAUAUUAUAUUAUUACAUGAUUUCUUGUUUGACAAUUAAUCAAGUUAUAGCAAGAGUGAAAUGUGUAACCUUAUGUGUGCUGUAUUUCUUUUCCUCAAGAUUAAUGUCCACAUAUUAUGUGUGUGUAUCCAACCGUAAUGAUAAGACACUUGCCAGUGCUAGAAAGCCUUGAAUUUUAGAUAAGUUCUCAGUGUAUGUGUGUUAGUAUCUGUCUGUACAGGGAGAAGCUCAGACAGUCCCAGGACAAACAAUCAACUGCCAGUGUCCAGCGUAUCAGAUCUACGUCUUUGGAGAGUUUUAUCUAGGUUUUGGAACCAAUCAGAAUUUUGUUGACUCAUGUAUUGACGCAAUUAGUAUCCUCUGUCAGGGUAUAACUGUGCUUGAUUUUGUAUUGUACUGGGGGCGGCCUGCGAACUCCUUCGAGAGUGUUGAAGCUGACUUCUGCUGAUGAAAUUGCAAACUAUUUUCUUCAAGUAAAAUUAUUAUUAUUAAUUGAACUCA